ensembl:snRNA U2 U2 spliceosomal RNA
AUCGCUUCUCAGCCUUUUGGCUAAGAUCAAGUGUAGUAUCUGUUCUUAGCAGUUUAAAGCAUACUUCUUCAAAGGGAUUUGCUAUUCUCUUUACUCAAGGAACUCUAGGUAAAAAUUAAUUUCUAUUUGGGAAUUGAUUAAGAGGGCAAUAUUCCAUCGCUGUCAUUCAUAGCAGACAUUUUUCUAAGACCUACAGUUUGUCAG